rnacentral:RNase_P_RNA from 1 species
AUAGCAGAUCUAUCUUAUCGUCAAGCUUUUUAGUUUGAAGGAAAGUCCGGACAUCAAAGAGUAGCAUAGCGGAUAACAUCCGUCCAGCGUAAGUUGAGGACCAGUGCAACAGAAAGCAAGUACAGUUCGGCUGUAGUGAAACCAGGUAAACUCUAUGCGGUGCAAUGUCAUGUACAUUAGAGUUUGAGGGUAACUCGCCCGAUUCUAAGGGGUAGGCAGAUGGAUUCUAAGAGUAAUUUUAGAACUAGAUAAAUGAUAAGACCCUUUUUAAGGGAACAGAAUCCGGCUUAUUGGUCUGCUUUUUUA